UACGGAGGGUGCAAACGUUGCUCGGAAUCACUGGGCGUAAAGCGUGCGCAGGCGGCUUCGCAAGUCAGACGUGAAAUCCCCGGGCUUAACCUGGGAAUGGCGUUUGAAACUACGGAGCUGGAGUAUGGCAGAGGGGGGUGGAAUUCCACGUGUAGCGGUGAAAUGCGUAGAUAUGUGGAGGAACACCGAUGGCGAAGGCAGCCCCCUGGGCCAAUACUGACGCUCAUGCACGAAAGCGUGGGGAGCAAACAGG
rnacentral:rRNA from 1 species